GCAGCUCCCAGCAGUUCAACUUCAACACAAAUCAUGUUGUCUGUAGCUCUGCUGCUGCUGCUGCUGGCAGCUGGAUCCUGUGUGAACAGUGAGCAGUUGAAUCAACCAGCGUCUCUGACUGUCCAGCAGGGACAACCACUGACCAUCACCUGUCAGGUCUCUUAUUCUGUUAGUAGCUAUUACACAGGCUGGAUCAGACAGCCUGCAGGAAAAGGACUGGAGUGGAUUGGAUAUGGAAUAAGUGGUGGCAGCACAUACUACAAAGAGUCACUAAAAAACAAGUUCAGUAUCUCUUUUGAAGCUUCCAGUAAGACAGUAACUCUAACAGGACAGAAUAUGCAGCCUGAAGACUCAGCUGUGUAUUAUUGUGCCAGAGACACACAGUAA